CCUCGGGGUAGGUGUGUCUGCCAUGCAAACAGGUUGCUCAUCUGCCACCAGGCCCCUAAUGAGCCCAACCCUCCUCUGAGCAGCUUGCUCCAACCCCAGCCCUGUUGUCAAGUCAGGCCCCUGCUCAUAAAACUCUCUCCAGUGAGCUGUGACACACAUGAAGGUACACAUUUACAGGGAAACCUGUAAAUCAGGGAAAUCGGGACAGCCCCACACCCCUUCUCAAGGCCACUUAAAGUAGCAAAGGUGCGGCACUGGACUCAGCCUUGCGUUGGUCUCUGCACAGACUCAGGUAAUCAUCGCUGGCCUGGGAGGACGCGGCCCUCGAAGAGUUUUGGAGCAUCUCCACACUUAGAUGUUCAAUGCCUCACGUCUACUGGGAGGUAUGUGAAGUCUUUGACCCCACUUCUCAGAUUGGAAACCAAGGCUGUGCAUUGAUGUUACUGGCCAAAGCCACAGAAUGUGGGCAGAAGUCAGACUCACCAGGGAGUUUUCCUCCAGUGUGAACAGCUUUUCCUCCUCUAAAGUUCCUUCUUAAAGGAAGCAGGGAAGGUUCAGCCCUACAUGGUGCCUACUUCUUAGCCUGACAAUGGGGUAUCCAGCGGGUGAAGCAGUUGAGAAGUGGGCAGUCGACCUUGGCUUUGCCCUCCUCCCCUGAUGUAGACCCCGAGGUGCCCCACUGAAGAUGCCUUUGGGAUGGAAAACAAGCUCUUUGAAGAUUGUUUCCCAAUUCUUACAUUUGAGGCCAGGAGGAAGUUCCGAGGACCCAUCUUUCAGGAAUUGGCCGGACGUGGGCAAAUAAAUUGGAUAUCUAUUGAUCAGCACUCCUGCCAAUAACUUGGAACAUCAUUUCCCAGUCAAUGAUUUCACAAAUGAAGACACUGCAAAAUAGUGUUCGUUGCCUGUCCACUGUAGGAACUGAUUCUAAAUGUUCACUUCAGUGUGCCUGCCAGAGGAAUACAAACCCGAUACGGGUGUACUGGCCACGCGUUGGAGAGACGAAAAGGCUUACUGAACAUUCUUAGUAAAUGUGCCAUUUGUUCCUGGUGGGUGAAGCAUUUCAUGAUUCAUGCAAUAUUGUAAAUUUUUAUUUUCUUUACAUAGACUUGGCUUUUAUUGUAAUUCCUACUCUUGGGGGAAGGUAAUAUGGAUUCAUCCAAGUUAAUAAAGCCUCUUGGAGAUAACAUCUCCAGGACUCAAGGCCAUUCUCAGGGUACAAUUAAGACAUUUGUUUGCUUGGUAUUCACCACGAAGAUCCAAGGUUGCCAUCAUGCUAAGUCACUGCAUGCAUUUCAUGACAUGAACACGAGCUUUGCAUACCAUUUCAGGCAGGACAGCGAUCACAGUGGAGUCACCGUUAGAGAAGCUGAGAGGUUCUUUGGAACAAACUACAGGCCAUGAAUAAGAGUAACAAGUGUGCCACCUCAUUAGAAGGUAGGGCAGUUCAGAGGACACCGAGCCCUGGACCAAAGGUUCAGGCCACAGCAUGCAUCACUGCAUUCCACACACCCUGCUUUGCCCCGGAGCUUGGAGGUAAAUCUGGAGAGAAGAAAGAGCCGUGGUUUUCUUUUCUUUUUUUUUUUUCCUUUUUUUCUUUUU
rnacentral:lncRNA from 1 species